rnacentral:lncRNA from 10 species
UCACUAAUAAGAAUGAGUGGCAGGGACAGGGCGGCCUUGUAACGCCCUCGGUGUUGGAAGGGAAGACCGUACAGCGCGAUGGGGACCAGGGCGGCGGGCCGCAGCCAGGGUGUGGGUGGGCGACGGUCAAGGUGCCUUGAAGCGGAUUCUGUCCUCGGGAGCUGCGGUUCUUCCUCCUCCGCCCUCACCGGCGGGCGACCUUAGGCAGGGCGUGAAAUGCAACGGGAGCCCUGGAGGGAGGGUGAAGCCGCGCGUGCAGGAGGAACCUCCUUUUGGCGAGUUCAGGCCCCGCAGCUGCGGAGGAGAAUUGCUGCUAUUUUCCCCAACAAAGAAUCUACCAUCCAUAGCUUCUAAGUGUACAACUGGAAAUCAAAACUAAGUUUGUCUUACUUGAAAGUUCAAAACUGUCUUACAGCUACUGCCUGGGGUCUAGGAAUCCAGAACAUUCCACACAUUGCCUAAGUCAACAACCUGUUGCACACACACACCUGCAACUGUUUUGCAAAAGUAUUUACGUAAUUUCGAAGCAGCUCUUCACAAAAUAUUCAUCAGUUACAGAAGGAAGUCACUUCACAGUGGAAAAAUCUGGCAGGUGCCACCUUAAUCAAGUAACCAAAAUGAACAUCAUCAGUAAUAGGACAAAUUGCAAUCGUGUGCCUCCUGAUAGUCUAGCAAGAAGAACACAGCAUCACUUCUAUGAUGCUCCUGCCAAUAAUAUAUAAUUGGAAUCUAAUCCUAAAGCAACAAAUUCAAAUUAAGGAAAAUUCUACAAAAUAAUUGGCCUGUAAUAGAAGUGUUAAAGGUCAUGAAAGUUAAGGAAAGACUGAAGAACUGUUCCAGACUGAAGAUGAAAGAGAUGUGAGAAAUAAGUGCAGUGGUGAUUCUGAACUGGAUCCUGACUUGGCAAAACUUGAAUAGGUCUGUUGGUUGGAUGGUAGAAAUAUAGUAAUGUUGAUUUCCUGAUUUUUGCUAGCUAUAUUACAAUUUUAUUGGAUUCAGUCCUUGUUUACAGAAGACACACAGUAUGUAGGGGUUAUAAGAAGUCAGCUCAGGAACUUUCAAAUCAUUUAGCAAAACAAAAGUUCUUCGUACUUUAAUUCCAAG